rnacentral:rRNA from 1 species
AACUCGACUACAUGAAGCUGGAAUCGCUAGUAAUCGCGGAUCAGCAUGCCGCGGUGAAUACGUUCCCGGGUCCUUGUACACACCGCCCGUCACACCAUGAGAGUUGGGGAUACCCGAAGCCUGUGAGCCAACUUUUUAAGAGGCAGCAGUCGAAGGUAGAAUCAAUGAUUGGGGUGAAGUCGUAACAAGGUAGC